rnacentral:rRNA from 1 species
GUGUCAGCCGCCGCGGUAAAACCAGCACCUCAAGUGGUCAGGAUGAUUAUUGGGCCUAAAGCAUCCGUAGCCGGCUCUGUUAGUUUUCGGUUAAAUCCAUAUGCUCAACAUAUGGGCCGCCGGGAAUACUACAAAGCUAGGGAGUGGGAGAGGUAGACGGUACUCCGUAGGAAGGGGUAAAAUCCUUUGAUCUAUGGAUGACCACCAGUGGCGAAGGCGGUCUACCAGAACACGUUCGACGGUGAGGGAUGAAAGCUGGGGGAGCAAACCGGAUUAGAUACCCGGGUAGUCCCAGCUGUAAACUAUGCAAACUCAGUGAUGCAUUGGCUUGUGGCCAGUGCAGUGCCGCAGAGAAGUCGUUAAGUUUGCCGCCUGGGAAGUACGUACGCAAGUAUGAAACUUAAAGGAAUUGGCGGGGGAGCACCACAAGGGGUGAAGCCUGCGGUUCAAUUGGAGUCAACGCCAGAAAUCUUACCCGGAGAGACAGCAGGAUGAAGGUCAGGCUGAAGACUUUACCAGACAAGCUGAGAAGUGGUGCAUGGCCGUCGCCAGCUCGUGCCGUGAGGUGUCCUGUUAAGUCAGGUAACGAGCGAGAUCCUUGCCUCUAGUUGCCACCAUUACUCUCAGGAGUAGUGGGGCGAAUUAGCGGGACUGCCGUAGUUAAUACGGAGGAAGGAGAGGGCCACGGCAGGUCAGUAUGCCCUGAAACUCUGGGGCCACACGCGGGCUGCAAUGGUAGUGACAGUGUGUUCCGAAUCCGAAAGGAGGAGGUAAGCCUCAAACGCUACCACAGUUAUGACUGAGGGCUGCAACUCGCCCUCACGAAUAUGGAAUCCCUAGUAACUGCGUGUCAUUAUCGCGCGGUGAAUACGUCCCUGCUCCUUGCACACACCGCCCGUC